CCUACGGGGGGCAGCAGUGGGGGAUAUUGCACAAUGGGGGAAACCCUGAUGCAGCGACGCCGCGUGGGCGAAGAAGUAUUUCGGUAUGUAAAGCCCUAUCAGCAGGGAAGAAGAAAGGACGGGACCGGAGUAAGAAGCACCGGCUAAAUACGUUCCAGCAGCCGCGGUAAUACGGAUGGUGCAAGCGUUAUCCGGAUUUACGGGGUGGAAAGGGAGCGCAGGCGGCACGGCAAGCCUGAUGGGAAAGCCCGCGGCCCAACCGCGGGACUGCCUUGGGAGCUCCCGGGCUGGAGUGCCGGCGCGGUAGGCGGAAUUCCUCGUGUAGCGGUGAACUGCGUAGCUCUUAGGCGGACCACCAGUGGCGAAGGCGUCCUACUGGACGGUGACUGACGCUGAGGCUC
rnacentral:rRNA from 1 species